GACGAACGCUGGCGGCGUGCUUAACACAUGCAAGUCGAACGAUGAUGCCCAGCUUGCUGGGCGGAUUAGUGGCGAACGGGUGAGUAAUACGUGAGUAACCUGCCCUUGACUCUGGGAUAAGCCUGGGAAACUGGGUCUAAUACUGGAUACUACCUCUUACCGCAUGGUGGGUGGUGGAAAGGGUUUUACUGGUUUUGGAUGGGCUCACGGCCUAUCAGCUUGUUGGUGGGGUAAUGGCUCACCAAGGCGACGACGGGUAGCCGGCCUGAGAGGGUGACCGGCCACACUGGGACUGAGACACGGCCCAGACUCCUACGGGUGGCAG
rnacentral:rRNA from 1 species